UUUCCAUGAAAACGUUUAAUGUUUACUUUAAAAAAAAAUGUAUUUUUGCUCGUUUUGCUGCAAAGUCUUAUUAACCAUCUGACAGUUACGUGUAUUUAGUUAGAAGCCGUAGGCGCAGUAAUCCUUACACUUUGUAUUGUGUUUUCUGAUAUUACAGUUGCCAUUACAUUAAAAGGAACAUUGUUUUAUAAACCAAAUUGUAAACAUGGAUCCCCGUUUAAAAGCGGCUUUGCUUUUUCAAGACAAAAUUAUACGGCGGUGCACACUACCAUGCCGGGACAAGGUACAUUGUCACCCGGACUUGGCUUCCUCCCUACAACUGUGAGCCACUUCAAUCCCUUCCUAACCACACGUAUAUCCCCACGAAAGCAAGUUGCUCUUGUUAAUAAAGGCUGGUGGAACGACGGACUGAUGCAUUCUGACCGAUGCACACUCAGGGCUCAUAACGCCAUAAGCAAGCAACAUUAAUAGGCGGCACCUCCUUCUUCACAAGUCCCUCUAAUGAUUAAAAUGCAUCAGCAGCUGCAAAGCUAUUCACAAUCGGACGUGCCAUCAUCACCCACCUUCACACACAGACUGGGGAGCCCCUUUCAGUCCAGGCAGGAGACCAACACUGAGUCCCGAUAAGUGCCAGGCGAUGCACGCUCCGGUUAGUACUGAGUUCUCCCCCUUCCUUUAGGCCACUUAAAAAAAAAAAUUGGUUCUCGUCCCCUCCCGACCC